rnacentral:lncRNA from 1 species
AUUGUGUGUAUUCUGUGGGAUCUGCAGGAGAAUUCAAACAAGGUGCCCUUGUCUUCUUGUAGAUCCCUGUAAUAGGUCUUUGGAAAAUUUCUCAAGAGGACACCUGAGCUAGGUUUUGGCUGCUGAGCAGAACAGCAACUGUGAUUCCAUAGUGUCUCUCCUGAUAUUUAGUCACUUUAUAAAUCAAGGAACAAUUGAGCAUGUCAUGUGGAAAAGAUUCUAUCCUAUUACCUGAGUAACUAAAGGUAAAUAGGUCACAGCCUCAGACCUUACAGAAUCAGGCAGGGAUGACAUGGAUGGGAAGGAAUAAAAUAAAUACAUAGACAACUAUGAUAUAAGCUGGGGCUUGUUAGGUGCCUCAGGAAGAUGUGAAGUUCUGCGAUACUUUGGAAUAGAGGGAAUGCUUAUAGGGUUAGAAGAGAGCAUGAAAGGCUUUAUGAGAUAACUGGAUGAGUGGGCUUUUAGAAGGAGCUGAUGAAAGAUGGUGUGAGGAGUGGACACUUCAGGAGGAGAGAGCUAAUUUAUAAAGGAAUAGAAGAAGAAAUCAGUGGGUGUGAUUGAAGAAUAAACAGCCCAGUUUGACUUCUGUGCUACGUGUGCAUAGCAGCCUUGUGGGAAAUAUUAAAGAAAAUAUGCACCAAGGCCAUCUAAUAAUAGGACCAUGUUUUGAAAGAUGUUUACAUGGUGGUGCUUCAGGAAAUGGGGCUUUGCUUUUAAGGUUUUUGAGUAUGGAGAAAUAGUAUCCCAGCUCUGCAAUAGGAAGAUCAACUUGCAAACAGUUUAAAUAGGCUGGUAGGGGACAGUCUGAUCAUGAAAAAGCAACUAGGAAGCUAUUAUAAGAGAUUGAACCACAAUGGAGGCAGCAGGAACUUAAAUUUCUUUUUUCAUUUAUACUUGCCUUUCAACUUUUUGUAGUUGCAACAUGUACUUUCUUAUUGAAUCCUACCUCUGUCAAAGUGGAAACUUUGAUAACUCAAAUUGUCCCAAGUAUAAAGUGAUUUCAAAGUUUUCUCAUAGUCGUCUUGUGUUUUUCACAAAAACCAAUUUCUAUAAUAUACUUUUAAAAAAUUGUUAAUCAUUUCUGUUCAACAUUUCUUCAGUCUGGAUCUUAUCCAAUGUCUUACGCUCCUCGUUAAACAACAAAAAAAAAAAAAAAAGAAAAAGAAAAAGAAACUCACAUCUAAGAUUAAGUUCAGUAAAAUUUUGAUUAAUCAGAAAAUGCUAGGAAUGGCGUUUUCGUUACUUAACAGUAACACUUUUGUGGUUUCAGGGUAGUCAAUGAAAAUAUUUUCAAAAUAUAUGUCUAUAUCUAUAACUGGAUAUAAUUAACUCAAUUUAACAUUUAUUUGAUGAUCCACAAUUUUGAAGCCUUUGAAUGUUUGACUUCAAGCAGCAAGAAAGAUGGAGUGAUAGUGGGAAGGUAAAGGUGAAGUGGUACUCUGAGGGAUCAGUGGUUGAGAGGGAAGAGGUAGGAAGAAGAGCUUCACAGAGGAAAAGGAUCAAAUCCUUAUUGUUCCAUAUUAUAGAUGUAAGUUACUGAAUUCUAAGAAAAUGCUGAUACUUAUUUUAAAAACUGUAUCCCUAAUCUUUUUUCCUCAUCAGUUCCUUAUUUCUCAUAAAAGUAAAAUUAGAAUAAAAGAUCCAUUUCUUUAAGAAUUAUGGUGAGAUUGAUUUUAGUAUGUUAUGUAACGUAGCAAGUGAUACUGAGUGCAGGGCAUUUUAAGUAACAGCUCUUUCAUUAUAUCUCAGCUAAUUUAUUCAACAACUAUUGAAUGAGUACUGUUAUAUGUUAAACACCAUUGUAGGUGCAUGUGAUAUAGCUGUGAACAAAACAUCAAGAAGCUUUGCCCUCUCUUGUUGAGACAGACAGACACUAUAAAUAAGGAGAAUACAUAGUAUAUAGUUUUUAGAAUACAUAGCAUUUUUGGUAGUGAAAAUUACCAUGGAGGAAAGGAGUACCAGGGUAAGGUGGGGUUAUGAAGAAGAUCUUACUGCUAAUAUGACAUCAAAUUAAGGCUUGAAGAGAGCAAUCAAGUCUUAUAGCAACUGGGGGGAAAAGGUUCUGAGGUAGGAAUAUGUCUGAUAGGUUUCAGGAAUGUAAAGCAGCUAGUGAAGCUAGAAAAGAAGGAAGAGGAAGAGAAGUAGCAGUUGAGAUCAAAGAGCUAAAGGGAGGCCUUGUAAACUAUUGUAAUGACUGCUUUUUAUUCUGAGUAACACACCACUGGAGGGUUUUAGAUGAAGUGAUCUGAUUUUUUUCAAACUAACAAUUUAAUUUUAAUAUUACCAUAUAGUUAAUAUACAGUAAAUUCACUCCUGUUAGCACACAGUCCUGAGCAUGCACAGUUGUGUAACCACCAAUACAAAGUAUAAAACAGUAUCAUUAUUUCAGAAAAUCUUCCCAUCCCCAUUUGUAGCCAACUUUAUUCCAUUCUCUGCCCAACCACGGUCUUCUGUCUUUUUUGAUUGUUGCAGAAUGUCAUAUAAAUGGAAUUGUAUCGUACGUAGCAUUUCCAUCUGGCUUCUUUCACUAGCAGAGUACGUUGGAUGUUCAUCCAUGUUGUGUGUAUCAGUAGUUUGUCUCUAUUGCUGAGGAGUAUUCCAUUGUAUGAAUGUACCACUGUGUGUUUAUGCAUUUCUUGUUCAGUUGAGGGACAUUUGAAUUGUUUCAAAACUUGGUGAUUAUUAAUAAAGCCACUAUAAAUGUCC